rnacentral:rRNA from 1 species
CAAUAGCGUAUAUUAAAGUUGUUGCAGUUAAAAAGCUCGUAGUUGGAUUUCUGGUAGGAGCGACCGUGCCGAACUUGAUUGUUCGAGUAUUGUGUUGUCUUCAGCCAUCCUCGUGGAGAACUUUUCUAACAUUAACUUGUUGGGAUUGGGACCCGCGUCGUUUACUGUGAAAAAAUUAGAGUGUUUAAAGCAGGCAUUAGCUUGAAUACAUUAGCAUGGAGUAAUAAGAUAGGACUUUGGUACUAUUUUGUUGGUUUGCAUACCAAAUUAAUGAUCAACAGGAACAGUUUGAGGAUAUUCGUAUGAACAUGUCAGAGGUGAAAUUCUUGGAUUUUGAUCAGACGAACUACUGCGAAAGCAUUUAUCAAGGAUGUUUUCAUUAA